ACGCUAGCUACAGGCUUAACACAUGCAAGUCGAGGGGAAACGGCAUUAAGUGCUUGCACUUUUUGGACGUCGACCGGCGCACGGGUGAGUAACGCGUAUCCAACCUUCCCAUGACUAAGGGAUUACCUGCCGAAAGGCAGACUAAUACCUUAUGGUCUUCACUGACGGCAUCAGAUGUGAAGUAAAGAUUUAUCGGUUAUGGAUGGGGAUGCGUCUGAUUAGCUUGUUGGCGGGGUAACGGCCCACCAAGGCAACGAUCAGUAGGGGUUCUGAGAGGAAGGUCCCCCACAUUGGAACUGAGACACGGUCCAAACUCCUACGGGAGGCAGCAGUGAGGAAUAUUGGUCAAUGGGCGAGAGCCUGAACCAGCCAAGUAGCGUGCAGGAUGACGGCCCUAUGGGUUGUAAACUGCUUUUGUAUGGGGAUAAAGUCAGUCACGUGUGAUUGUUUGCAGGUACCAUACGAAUAAGGACCGGCUAAUUCCGUGCCAGCAGCCGCGGUAAUACGGAAGGUCCGGGCGUUAUCCGGAUUUAUUGGGUUUAAAGGGAGCGUAGGCUGGAGAUUAAGUGUGUUGUGAAAUGUAGACGCUCAACGUCUGACUUGCAGCGCAUACUGGUUUCCUUGAGUACGCACAACGUUGGCGGAAUUCGUCGUGUAGCGGUGAAAUGCUUAGAUAUGACGAAGAACUCCGAUUGCGAAGGCAGCUGACGGGAGCGCAACUGACGCUGAAGCUCGAAGGUGCGGGUAUCGAACAGGAUUAGAUACCCUGGUAGUCCGCACAGUAAACGAUGGAUGCCCGCUGUUGGUACCUGGUAUCAGCGGCUAAGCGAAAGCAUUAAGCAUCCCACCUGGGGAGUACGCCGGCAACGGUGAAACUCAAAGGAAUUGACGGGGGCCCGCACAAGCGGAGGAACAUGUG
rnacentral:rRNA from 1 species